GUACCGAUCUCUCCGACUUCUUCACCAAUAGAAGCCUCAAAAGUAAAGCCUUAAAAGUAAAGGCAGGCAAGCCUUCCGGAGAAAUAAAGAAACAAGCAUCCAUGUCUUUAAGCAGAUUUGGUUUCAAAAGCACACAUAUCUCAGCGACCUCCUUAGAAGUAGGCUUAGUGGAUUUCUCACAUAGUAGUCUCUGUAAACACGGGAAUUCCUGUGAUGAACGAGACAACAACACGUGUACAAAAUAAUAUUUGUAUUAAUGAUUUAGGGGUUACAAUCUCUUCUACAAAUUUAGCCUCUGAUUCUAUCUUUGUAAUGGGUAGAUUUGUUGAUGUUGUAGAUCCAAAAAGCCGUCAGGGCUUGAUCUUUAGGAUGAACAGAUGAUGAAUGAUGAACACUUUCUUCAAGGGCCAUCGGGGCUUGAUCUUGAAUUAGUAGAAGUUUCUUCAAGGGCCGUUGGGGCUUGAUCUUGAAGGAGGAUUUUGAUGAAGAACGAAGAAGGCUUUCUUGAUUCUUCGGGAUUUACUUGAGAGCUAUACAGUUUUGAGGCUUCAAAGCUUUGAUGUGGUGUGAAUUCUCUUCCAAUUUAGGAGUAGAAAAAAUGUAUGUAAAAAAAUCCCCCCUUGAUCCUUUGAUGGGGAAGCCUAUUUAUAGGCUUUGAGAAUGAAUUACCACCAUCCUUUUGUUUUGGUGGAUGUUGUAGGUGGAUUGGGUGGAUUGUUGUAGGUGAAUUGAGUGGAUGAUGUAUGUGAAAUAAAUGUAUAAUGUAGGUGAAAUGAAUGGAGGUUGUAAUUUUAAUACAAUUGUCAAUUUUUAUUUCACCGAAAUUUCAAUGUCUACAAAUGCCCCCACUUCAAGGCGCGUCGUAUACAUGUGCUUGUCACGUGUAGAAGAUACAUUUUGAAGUCCUUUAAUGUAGAUGUCGAUCCAAGGGCCGUUAAGGCUUAAUCUUGAAUUGGGCUGGGAGUUUCUUCAAGUGCCGUUGAUGCUUGUUCUUGAAUUUUUUUUGAAAUUUCUUCAAGGGCCGUUGAGGCUUGAUCUUGGAUGAAAUUUGGACCACAAGGAGCUUCAUGUGGUAGAUGAUCUUUGGCUUUGGUAAUGGAUGAAUCAGCAUGUAUUUUGUUGCGCUUGUUGACGUUGCACAACUUUGAUCUUGAAUUAGGUUGGAUGGUUUUCUGGUUUCCUCCAAAGGACCUUCCACAAACUUGAUCUUGAACUGGAUUUGAUUCAAGGGUGGUGGACACUUGAUCUUGAAUCGGACUUGUGAUUUCUUCAAGGGCCGUUGGGGCUUGAUCUUGAGUAGUUUUCAGGGUUUGAACACUUAGCAGGCAGGCACGAGGCGAAUGUGAUGGCCUGUUUCUUUGUUCAAUCUUUCCAAUUUAUAUUGAAGAAGGUCAGGGGAUAAGGUCAGAUGCUACAAAGAAUUUGCUUUGAAAUAUCAAGGAAGUUCGCAGCAUUUUCAUAUGAACCCUGAGCAGUUUGGUUAACGGUAUGAUCUUCAAGGGUUAUCGAGACUUUGCUCUUCGAUGACAAUACCAGCGAAAGGCUGUUGAAGCUUCUCGAGCUCUUUGAUUAUAGCAACGAUGGCGGGCUUGGAUUUGACUUAAACUCCUCCGUCUGGAUUAUACAGUUCUAUCGAGAAGGGUGUCCUGCUAUAAUGAUUUGUUCCAGCUCAUCGUGUUGCAUUCUUCUCUGCUUGUUUCUUUCGCCUAGCAGAAGUGGUACGCAACCUUUUGCCUUUCAAUGGUCCUUGAGAGCAUCACUUUUCAACCACUCAUCCAUGUUUGGUAGCUUCAGUGUAAAGAGCCAACACCAUAUCAACUGUCUUGAAGUAUUUGUUGAGGAAAUUAAAGACCCGUCAACAGUUGAAGAUAAGCACUCGAGAGCAAUGCUAGGUAAGCAACCAGGCAAAGGUUUUGGGCAAUCAGUUCCCAAUCAGAGGUUUAUUUCGAGUUCCGAUUGAUUGUUUCCUUUCUCCUUGUUCUCCAGGCAAGAGCAAGGGCAAAGGAAAGGACAAGGGAAACGCAUGAUAUGAGAUACCUUUUCUUUCGACCCUGAUGAUAUGAGAUACUUUUGCUUUUGAAAAAGUAGCGAAUGAUCA
rnacentral:lncRNA from 1 species